rnacentral:rRNA from 1 species
GAUGAACGCUGGCGGCGUGCCUAAUACAUGCAAGUCGAGCGAACAGACGAGGAGCUUGCUCCUCUGACGUUAGCGGCGGACGGGUGAGUAACACGUGGAUAACCUACCUAUAAGACUGGGAUAACUUCGGGAAACCGGAGCUAAUACCGGAUAAUAUAUUGAACCGCAUGGUUUAAUAGUGAAAGACGGUUUUGCUGUCACUUAUAGAUGGAUCCGCGCCGCAUUAGCUAGUUGGUAAGGUAACGGCUUACCAAGGCAACGAUGCGUAGCCGACCUGAGAGGGUGAUCGGCCACACUGGAACUGAGACACGGUCCAGACUCCUACGGGAGGCAGCAGUAGGGAAUCUUCCGCAAUGGGCGAAAGCUUGACGGAGCAACGCCGCGUGAGUGAUGAAGGUCUUCGGAUCGUAAAACUCUGUUAUUAGGGAAGAACAAAUGUGUAAGUAACUAUGCACGUCUUGACGGUACCUAAUCAGAAAGCCACGGCUAACUACGUG